UCUACAGAUUUUGAAGCUUCACAGCAUAUUUGAGGACAGAGAAAGAGAGAAAAGAAGGAGAAGAGAGAGGGGAAAAUCUUGAUUAAAACUAAUCAAGCCAACCAAUAAAAUUGUAACAUUCCUGCUAUAGGAUUAUAUCCAGUGCUUUCCGUGUUGAAUAACCGCAGUUUCUCCCUAGAAGAUUACAUUUGUCAUCAAAACUUGGACCACCAUCAGCUUUGAUGAUGCUGCACUUGCACAAAUUCCUCAAGCAACCAUCACAAGUUGGCACAAUCCAGCAAAUUAAUCUAGCAGCUGCAUUGACAACAACUUUGAAUUUAGCUGCUACAUUCAUUUGCUAAAGCCACUGCAAUAUUAAUAUUGAUCUGCUUGAAGUAGCAAGAAAUUUAUACCUUCCGAUACUAUUAUAUUCAGGUAUGUCUUCAACGCAAAUAUUAUUCUAUUUACCUAUAGUUCUAACUUUCCAGCUUCAUCCUAAAAUUAAUU